GCCAGUUUAAUCUACCAUAGGGGGUCGGUGGAAGGCUGGGUAAACCGUUUGGUUUUCGACCACUAGGACCCGGGUUCGAUUCCCGCAUUGGGCA
rnacentral:tRNA from 1 species